GUCCACGCCGUAAACGAUGAGUACUAAGUGUUGGGAGUCAAAUUUCAGUGCUGCAGUUAACGCAAUAAGUACUCCGCCUGAGUAGUACGUUCGCAAGAAUGAAACUCAAAGGAAUUGACGGGGACCCGCACAAGCGGUGGAGCAUGUGGUUUAAUUCGACGCAACGCGAGGAACCUUACCAGUUCUUGACAUCCUACAAACUUUCUGGAGACAGAUUGGUGCCCUUUCGGGGGAAUGUAGUGACAGGUGGUGCAUGGCUGUCGU
rnacentral:rRNA from 1 species